CGGACGGGUGAGUAACACGUGGAUAACCUACCUAUAAGACUGGGAUAACUUCGGGAAACCGGAGCUAAUACCGGAUAACAUAUUGAACCGCAUGGUUCAAUAGUGAAAGGCGGCUUUGCUGUCACUUAUAGAUGGAUCCGCGCCGUAUUAGCUAGUUGGUAAGGUAACGGCUUACCAAGGCAACGAUACGUAGCCGACCUGAGAGGGUGAUCGGCCACACUGGAACUGAGACACGGUCCAG
rnacentral:rRNA from 1 species